rnacentral:rRNA from 1 species
GCGUUAAUCGGAAUUACUGGGCGUAAAGCGCACGCAGGCGGUCUGUCAAGUCGGAUGUGAAAUCCCCGGGCUCAACCUGGGAACUGCAUUCGAAACUGGCAGGCUUGAGUCUUGUAGAGGGGGGUAGAAUUCCAGGUGUAGCGGUGAAAUGCGUAGAGAUCUGGAGGAAUACCGGUGGCGAAGGCGGCCCCCUGGACAAAGACUGACGCUCAGGUGCGAAAGCGUGGGGAGCAAACAGGAUUAGAUACCCUGGUAGUCCACGCCGUAAACGAUGUCUACUUGGAGGUUGUGCCCUUGAGGCGUGGCUUCCGGAGCUAACGCGUUAAGUAGACCGCCUGGGGAGUACGGCCGCAAGGUUAAAACUCAAAUGAAUUGACGGGGGCCCGCACAAGCGGUGGAGCAUGUGGUUUAAUUCGAUGCAACGCGAAGAACCUUACCUGGUCUUGACAUCCACGGAAGUUUUCAGAGAUGAGAAUGUGCCUUCGGGAACCGUGAGACAGGUGCUGCAUGGCUGUCGUCAGCUCGUGUUGUGAAAUGUUGGGUUAAGUCCCGCAACGAGCGCAACCCUUAUCCUUUGUUGCCAGCGGUCCGGCCGGGAACUCAAAGGAGACUGCCAGUGAUAAACUGGAGGAAGGUGGGGAUGACGUCAAGUCAUCAUGGCCCUUACGACCAGGGCUACACACGUGCUACAAUGGCGCAUACAAAGAGAAGCGACCUCGCGAGAGCAAGCGGACCUCAUAAAGUGCGUCGUAGUCCGGAUUGGAGUCUGCAACUCGACUCCAUGAAGUCGGAAUCGCUAGUAAUCGUGGAUCAGAAUGCCACGGUGAAUACGUUCCCGGGCCUUGUACACACCGCCCGUCACACCAUGGGAGUGGGUUGCAAAAGAAGUAGGUAGCUUAACCUUCGGGAGGGCGCUUACCACUUUGUGAUUCAUGACUGGGGUGAAGUCGUAACAAGGUAACCGUAGGGGAACCUGCGGUUGGA